rnacentral:rRNA from 1 species
UGGGGAAUAUUGGACAAUGGAGGCAACUCUGAUCCAGCAAUUCUGUGUGUGUGAAGAAGGUUUUAGGACUGUAAAACACUUUUAGUAGGGAAGAAAGAAAUGACGGUACCUACAGAAGAAGCGACGGCUAAAUACGUGCCAGCAGCCGCGGUAAUACGUAUGUCGCGAGCGUUAUCCGGAAUUAUUGGGCUUAAGGGCAUCUAGGCGGUUAAACAAGUUGAAGGUGAAAACCUGUGGCUCAACCAUAGGCUUGCCUACAAAACUGUAUAACUAGAGUACUGGAAAGGUGGGUGGAACUACACGAGUAGAGGUGAAAUUCGUAGAUAUGUGUAGGAAUGCCGAUGAUGAAGAUAACUCACUGGACAGCAACUGACGCUGAAGUGCGAAAGCUAGGGGAGCAAACAGG